UAUUCUCCUGCAGGGAGCAGCUGAUUCUUCAGGAGCAAAGUUGACCCCACAGAGGCAAAUCAAACCGACCACCACCACCACAGAAGCAAGGGCCGGAAGGACCUGGUGUCCGUGUUGUCACCCAUGAGAGACAUCAUCCUUGCUGCAUUUUUACAACUAGGUGUCCGGCCUAAUAGCAGAAACUGGAUGCUCACACUGCUCCUGCAUGCGACCUAAGGUGGUGUGUUGUUCUGUUUAAAGGAGAAAAUCCAAUCUCACAAAGAUGUGCACUUACAAGAGAGAGAAGCAUUGUAACAGCCUCUGCAGCCGGAUGUGGAUAUUCUUUGAUCCCACACCACAACGCAGCAAGUGGUAGCUUCUUAAAGAGCCACCUGGCGGUCUACUGUGAACGGAUCGAGAAGCCACCCUCCAGGAUUCCUCUCUGUCCUACGUUUCUGCGCGAGCAUUCAACUGAAAGCCAGUUAAGGGCACGUGGGCCCUUUGUGCAGUGGACUUGCGUCUUGGCCUAUAAAAGCUGCUGGCCGUCCAGGAGCAGCCCUCCUGAAGACCAGGUGGGACCAGCAUGGAAGGCUGGGCCAUUCCUUUCAAAGGAAUUUUUAUUCCUAAGGGGCAGGUGGUCAACUUGCCCAGCAGUCCUUGACAUCUCUUGCCACUUCCAAGUACCGUGACUCAGGAUUCAACUUGGCUUCUAUGCUAGAGGACGUGCGAUGGCCACGCAGUGGAGUAAGCAUUGGUGUCUCCUGCAGCAGUGUAAGCACUGACAUGAGGGAAGUACUCCCUCCCCCACAUUCUGGGCAAGCACCCUCCACUCCAAGGGUGGCAUGGGACUUGGCCUGGUCAGUCAGGACAUUCUAUUCCUUUGGUUAUGGCAGCUGGACACAAGACUCAGAAAGUCCA